CCAGCUAUGUGACUCUUGAACUUCUGAAAAUCGUCACCGAUCAAUCCCAAAGCAACAAGCGUCUGCGAGUAUUAGAAUAAUCCUGCGAGUGAUGAGAUGCUGGUGAGUACUUGACAUAAUCUGGGAGCGCAAGACCUACUUAUGUUCUAGUCACAAGUGCUCUCAAUAUAUGUCAAAGUAUGUUCAUUUGUUCUUUAUUCAGUGGUAGAUGAUUAUUUUGGGAGGAGGGGUAUGAAUAACUAGUGGGGAGGAUAUCUCAUGCAAAGCGGGGACUGUUGACAAAAAUUGAAAAGAUUAUUAUGCACUAAGAAACAUGGCAGUAUAUGCUAGAUCAUGGAUCUUCCUUCAGUUGCGCAAAGGCAGUUAUGCGACCAGUCCAGGCAACCAGUGUGUAAAUGGGAUGAGUGAUGCAUCUCAUUUUUAGCAGCUCACCCAUUGAUUCCUUGUAUAUAGUUUUUCCAGGUCAGCAAUGAGGCGCUUGAAAACUGUGUAUGGAUCCUGGCAGAGGCUUGAACAUGACGCUAAAAAAUUUCAUUGUGAAAAACCAUCAUUAAGAGUGUGUAUGCUAACUGUAGGCGAAUGAGUGACAAUCAAGUAGCAACCACCAUUCAACUUAUGACCCUGCCUAUUAUCCAAUGCAAUCUGAACCCACACUAGUGGGUGCACUCAUACAGCAAUCCGCCAACCCGUCCG
rnacentral:sRNA from 2 species